rnacentral:misc_RNA from 1 species
AAGAGACGUUGCCCUUCGGGGUAUACCUCCCACCCUUUGUUUAUUAUACCUUUGUUGCUUUGGCGGGCCCGUCCUCGGACCACCGGCUUCUGCUGGUCAGUGCCCGCCAGAGGACCUAAAACUCUGUUUGUUAAUAUUGUCCUGAGUACUAUAUAAUAGUUA